UUAAAUUGAAGAGUUUGAUCAUGGCUCAGAUUGAACGCUGGCGGCAGGCCUAACACAUGCAAGUCGAACGGUAACAGGAAGAAGCUUGCUUCUUUGCUGACGAGUGGCGGACGGGUGAGUAAUGUCUGGGAAACUGCCUGAUGGAGGGGGAUAACUACUGGAAACGGUAGCUAAUACCGCAUAACGUCGCAAGACCAAAGAGGGGGACCUUCGGGCCUCUUGCCAUCGGAUGUGCCCAGAUGGGAUUAGCUUGUUGGUGGGGUAACGGCUCACC
rnacentral:rRNA from 1 species